AACGGAUAUCUCGGCUCUCGCCACGAUGAAGAAUGUAGCGAAAUGCGAUACUUAGUGCGAAUUGCAGAAUCCCGUGAAUCAUCGAGUCUUUGAACGCAAGUUGCGCCCGAGGCCUCGGCCGAGGGCACGCCUGCUUGGGCGUCGC
rnacentral:rRNA from 1 species